AGAGAAAGUGCUUCCUAUUUCCCUGAGAACCAUCUCAGAGUAGUGUACUCAACACUGCAAGAAGAUGCACAAAACUAGGGAUUAUUGCUGGCCAGUCCUUCUCUGGUGGCUCUCUAGCCCAGCACUAAGGAUUGCUUUUGGACUGAAUGCAACACGAACGAAUCAGCGCCAGCCCCCUUGUCAGCCAGGCCACUACUGUCCAGAAGGCAGCGAAAUUGCAGUUCCAUGUCCCAGAGGCACGUUUGCACCAAGUUUUUGGGCCAGGGACAUCAAUGGUUGUAUUAGCUGCCCUCCACAUCACUAUGCUCCCACAGAGGGUCUGUCUGCCUGUCUGCCCUGUGGAUCCAGAGCUCGGCAGCCUCUACCCAGGCAGGAUAAAUGUAUAUGCCUAACAGAGGGCCAAGUCUUCCAAAUUCAACCACAGGAAAACCAAGCUCAAUAAACAAUUCACCAUCACUCAAGCCUGAACAAAAGGAUGAGGUUUUAAACAUCUGAUCCAUGUUUCCUUAAUGCAGGCCAGCGAUGGGCAGUGCCAUUGUGCUUUGGGGUACCGCUCUACACAAAGUGGGGAUGCCUGUGAGUUAAAGAUAUAUGAGAUCUGCAAAGAUGGACAAGCACGGGACCAGUAUGGCAAAUGUUUGGAUCGCAGGCAGUGGAAACACCUUUGUUCUAAUGAGGUGUGUGCGUCUCCACAGCUGUAUGAGGGUUAUGAUGCCUCCCUGGGUCUGUGUGUCUGCAAAAGUCUGACUGAUCCAGGAAGAAGUGAGUGCUCAGGAUGGUGUGGAGACAGGAUGAGACCUGUGUUGCAGCUGGUGUGCAGUUCUGCUGUCCUUCAGCUGCUUUACACUGAGGCAAAUAGACAGGUACAACAUAAUGGCUCAACCCAAUGAUUCUACUUUUCAAGCUUUUUUAUUAGAGGGCUGAAACUCAUGCACAUCAUUACACAUUAUAUAUCGACUCAGUAUGACCAUUACUGGGCGCACUGUGGCUCAGUUGUUAGCACGUUCACUUCACACCUUCAUGGUCCAGAGUUCGAGUCCCACUGUGGCCCUGUGUGUGCGGAGUUUGCAUGUUCUCCCCGUGCUGCGGGGGUUUCCUCCGGAUACUCCGGUUUCCUCCCCCAGUCCAAAGACAUGCAUGGUAGGCUGAUUGGCAUGUCUAAUGUGUCCGUAGUGUAUGAAUGGGUGUGUGAGUGUGUAUGUGAUUGUGCCCUGCGAUGGACUGGCACCCUGUCCAGGGUGUACCCUGCCUCGUGCCCGAUGCUCCUUGGGGUAGGCUCCAGGUUCCCUGUGACCCUGAAAAGGAGUAAGCAGUAGAAGAUGGAUGGAUGGAUGGAAUGAGGACCAUUAUUUUAAUCUUGCCACACUAGGUGUGUAACAUAAUGCCUCUAUCUGUAUCGGCACCUGUUCAGUGUUUCAGUAUUCGUAUUUGUAUCUAUAAUUGGGUUUAAACCUAAAGUGGGAGUGGCCUAGACUGGAUAUUAAAAGUAAAUAAAUAAAUAUGAACCCUAUGCUCCCUGGAAAACACUGGACAAACGAGGUAGAAAAACCCGCAUUGUAAGCUGAAACUGAGAUCUAGAGAUGUGUACAGGACUAUUUGUUUUAAUCCUAGCCUACAAGGUUAUUAUUAUUUAGUACCUGCCUGUGAUAUUUUCUAACAGUUUUAGUUGGUCAUAUUUCCCGUAAUAUAACUAAAAAGUUACUAGCAGUUACUAAGGAUGUAUGUUGCUGCACCAUCAUGUCAAUUAACAUGAUCACUGUUUGUUUGUCCCAUGAGCCCCGUUUAUCUUGUUAAAGCAAACAAGGCUAGAGUUUCACUUUGAUCUAUAUAUCUUUGAGGGACACAGGUUAGUGCAUCAGGAAGUGCGCUUUUAUCUAUCCUCAAACAUUGGGAGUCCCGAGGAAGGCUGAGGUGUGAGCGGCAUCAUGGGUUCUCCAGGCCUGUGUACACAAUACAGACAAGGGAAAGUGGCUUCUAUGGGUUUCUCCGCACUAUCCCAGUAGGAGUACGGAUUUUGAUCUUGGAAGGUGGUCAAGUGAGCGAUAGUUUUGCUGAGAUCAUGAACAGAAACAGCAUAGGAAACCAUACCUACAUGGAUACAGAAUUCUAUUGGUCCAUGGGUUCUGCUUCAAGAGGAGCCAGCAAUAGUGAAGCCACUCAAGUGAUGAACCCGAUCGCAUGCUUGCAUCUGGAUGAUAUCCUUUUAUUCACUGUGACCAGACACCAUUAUCCGCAGUAUGAUGUUGAGAACUUAUUCAACACAAAUGCUGCUUUUGACUGGGGAGUCUUUAGAGUAUUGGAACAAGAGCUAGCAAUGGCACAAUCUGCAAACUCCCUCUUUUCCGUUAGCUUUAGUGAGCCUGGUGUGUAUGUCAUCAAACUGAGCAGCAAUCAACACAAGCAUGUGUAUGUAAAGGUUUUGCCUGCUGGAGGAGAUUGCUAUGACAUCGGACCGUUCUUUCCUACUGAUCCACAUCACAUGAUUCGGAUGGGCAUAACCCUCCAACGCCAGCUCCUGCUGCGACCCGACUGGUGGGUGAUUGGAGGUCUCUUAGCUGGAGCUACAGUUGUGCUCUGCUUGUGUCUUGCAGUACUGAUCUUGUUCAGAGAGCACGGCUGGCCAGAGAAGCUGCCUUCUCAGGCCAGGUACCGGGAACUACAGCUCAAGUACAACAUGGAUGACUAUUCAUCAAAAGGUUCCAGGGUCAUAGCACUGAAAAAGAUGCACAGAAACUUAACGGUCGGGAUGAACGAGGAUCCAGUGCUGAGAGCUAUGGCUGUAACAUCAGACGAGUUCUGGGACUAUGAGAAUCAGGUGAACCUGGAGGCUUUCAGUUCCAGCACAUUCUAUGACAUCUUGCUUAAGCACAGUGUAUCUGUCACCACCCGGCUUGGGCAGUUCAAAGAAGAGGUGAAGCAGCUCUAUCAAGGGGUGCUGGAAAAGGUGCAGGGACUUCAACCUGGCCCAGGGGCUGUGGUGGUAGGGGGAAAGCUGGAGUGUUUGGAGAAACAAGUGGAGCAAGAGAUAGCACGCAGGAAAGUUCUGGGCACUCAGAUUUCCCAGCUGCUGGACAGCCAGCUUCAGAUCCUCCGGAAUGAGUCCCAGUCCCAGCAUGCCAUGCACAAGGCUUACUCAGCACUCCUCAGAGAAUGCUUUCGGUUGCUGAUGCUGGUUUCUGACAACCAGACCUCUCUCUGGAGCAAAUAUAUCCAGCAAUGUGUUAUGGAUAGAUUGCAUGUGCUGGCUGAGGAGAUGGCAGAGCUGGUCUCAAUGGAGGCGCAGAGGCAGGGUUGCUGGGGCAUGCUCAAACAGGGGACUGGAGCACGGCUACUAUGCCCCACUUCUGGAUCGGUCCUCACUAGGGAUGACAUUAUUGCACCUGAUGGGUCUGUCCAGGCAUGCGAUACAGUCCAUGUGGACUCCUGCACAGGCCUCAUCCAUCCAAUCCCGAAUGCCCACAUGCUCCUAGCUAGUGGCCACAGCAUGCCCGUGGCCUCUGACUUCUUUGUGCAUCCUCAGACUGGCCGGCUGCUCCCAGUGGCAGGGAAUGUAGGAUUUGACUCCUCCAGCUCCACCCUUGUAUGCACAGCCGAUGCUUGUGUGGGUGAGGUUGGAAAAUGGGAGUCUCCUGUGCUUCCCUUCAUUCCCUACCCUUCAUCUCGCCACUCUGAGCUGCUAGGGCCAUCCAAGUUGAGAAGCCUCCAAACAGGCCAGAAGCUUGUAUUUGGAGGACCCAUGUGUGACUUUGAAACUGGCGUACUUGUCCCGAUCCUGGCAGUCACCAUCCACCCCCAGACGGGGAUGGUGUACCCGGUAGGUGGUGCUCAUGUGUGCCCUGUGACGCGACUCCGGCAGCCCAUUCAGAUUGGUUGUCCAAUGCUGGAUCCUCGCACGGGCAAUGUGGUACUCAUAACAGGUGUUAGUCUGGACUCGCAUACAGGUGCAGUGCUUCCAGUAGGAGGUCUCCUGCUGGGCGAAACCUUCAUCGAGCCCCUGAGUGGCAGGCUGGUGCGUGUAGGUGGCGGCAGCCUCCGGGGAGGAAAAGUGGUGCCACAUGCAGGGGGUUUCCAGGCUCUACUGGACAGCCAAGCUCUUGGUGCGCGGGUGGGGGUGGUGGAGCUGAUACGGGCCUACUGUGACGGGUGGAAAUCUGGGAGUCUGGACCUCAACAAUGAGAUUAGCAGAGUGAAGACAGCUGCCUCAGAUUUGGAGCAAGCCUGGAGGAACAGUCAGGACUGCACGCUUCAGCUGCUAAGUUGUCUGGAGGCUCAGCAGGAGUGGGCCUGGCGGGUGGCUGAAGAUGGGGGCAGUCUAGGUGAGAUCAGUCUGCCUGGCAUUGAGCUGUCCCUGCCCGCUCUGCCAGGACUGGAAUAUCCGGACCCUGGAGGUUCUGGCUUAUCAGUCCCUGUUCUUGGUGUGCAGCUGGAUUGGAUGUCAGGGUGUAUGGUGCCUCUUGCUGGAACAAUGGAAGAUGCAGAUGGCAAGGGGCUGGUUCCGAUCCGCUUUGGGGCACAGACUAUAGACCCUGUGACAGGGGUGGUGGCUCCGGUGGUAGGAGCUCGGCUAGACUUCUGGAAGAGGACUGUAGUCCCAGUGACCGUCUCUCAGUGCCUGACCAUAAGAGAAGCUCCAGACAUUGUGCUGGCGGAGGCCUUACAGAAGGAGUGCAGCAUGAGGGCCCAGUUCUGGAGACAGCAGAGAGUAAAGGAAGAAGAACUAGUGGCGGAUUUAGACAGAGCUCUGAGGGACUGCCUUUACACAGCAUUACAGGAAGAGCCAGAUCAUCUUGUGUGGACAGACACAGAUAAGCAAAUAAGGGAGACAGCAGCAGAACUUCAGGAGGAAGACUAUAAAGAGGCUCAAAGAAGAAAUGCUGUGAACUCGGAGCUGUCUCUCCUGCUGCCUGGACACAUCCUACUCACUCUUACUGGAGGUGAUGAAGAAGAGUGGAAGCAGCAGCGUCACUGGCAUGCUGAACUGACUGCAGUGUUGAAUAGAGUGAGUGUGUUUAUGGCAAGGCAGCAGUGGGAGCAAGGUCGGUCCACACCUCUGGGUGAUGAGCAAGCGGAUGAAAAGACAUGGCAGAAGGAGCUGUGGGAGCAAUUAAAUCAGAGAUACACCGAGCUGGACGUUGCUCUUUCUUCACUACACUGCACCUGCAAGAUCAGCCAGCUCCGUGCUGCUACUGCAGAGGCCAUAUUAUCAGGCUCAUUCUCGUAUAGGGAUUAUUGUAUGGUGCAGCCCAGAGGCAGAAAAAACCCUCUGAAAGCAAUGGCCCUGACUCAGCACAAAAUCCUCUCUCAGUUAGAGCGCCUCAUUCAGCUGCUGGAGGAUGGCAAACUUUCCAGUCUCUUCAUCAGAGGCCAGAGCCAGCAGAGCUCUGACCUGCCAGUGAAGCAAGCGUUUGACAGGGACACAGGCUCUAGAGCAUGGACUGUGUCGGUCCCUGUAGCUAAAGAUGCCAAUCAGUCUUGCUGUGCAGCAGUUUCCACUCAACCCCUGAAAGAUCAUGAAAAGGCUUCAUCUGUGAGCGAGCUAAAUGGCUUGAAGGGUGUAUUGUCCAGUACAUCUCCUUCACACAGAGAACAGGAUGUAAGCCCUGCUCAAAGCCAGGAUCUCAAGGAGACGACAUUUCCCGUGCACAUGACAGUCCCCAAACUGUCAGGUGAGGACUGGGCCAGUUUGCUGGAGCUCUCGCCACUCUUCCGGCUUAUCCAAGAUGUGGAACAGCGGCUCAGAGACCAAGCAAAGAACGCCGGCCUGCUUAGCGGCUCAGGGUGCACCUUUAUCGAUUUCUUGGAUGCGCAGUGGGAUUGUGAGGGAGAGCUCGUCAAAGUCGGUGCUGACACUCUCAAUCCCCGCGAGUUUCUCAUCUACCAGCACGGCCAGCUUCUUCUCAAACUGCUACACACACACAGAGUGGCACCAGCAGUGAAAUUACACCUCGCCUCAAGACUUCCUACAAAUAACUACUGCUGCAAUUCCUUCCGUAAUUCCUUUUAUUACCAGGAGACGGAUAACAUUCUGUACGUGCGACAGCAGAGACUGCAGUCUGUAGGAGGUUUCUCUCUGCUGCUUAUACACUGUGCUGCUCACAUAUCCACUGGACAACUUACUGUUGACACAACUGUUGCCUUCCAAAGGGCUUUCUUUAAGGUCCUGCAAGUGUGUCUAAGUGAGUUGUUCCAUGCCAGAUUAGAGCCUGAUUCAGCUGAAGGAAAGAAGCAAAGCACUGACUCAACCCUUAAUAGCCUUGUGUCCGAGAGAGUGCAGAAAUGCGACCCAGGGACUUUGUCUGAGAACCUGAAUGAGGUGGCCAGGCUGCUAGAGAAGCACAAAGAAAGUUCAGUGUUCAGGAAAGUAGAAAGCCUGCUGAGAGAUAAGAACCUGGAGGUCAGCCCAAGUGACAGUGAGCCGCCAAUUAAACAUGGAGCAGAAGGCCAGGACGUUGCGCCAGAGUGAAGUGAUGAAUCGGUCUUGAAAUACGAGCACUGCUGCCUUUCACUGAAUAUGACAAGACCAACUAUCUCAUCCAAACUACUGUAAGCUGCUCCGUGGGAGACAGAUGGCAGCGUAGACGAUGGCUUUGCUUUGGAUUGAGGACGUUCGAGUAACUACAAAAAGAAGCACAUGGAACACACAUUAAACAACAUUAAGCAAAAAGGAAAAAUCCAAAUGAUGACAAACAAUAAUAAGGACAUGAAUGUAAUGCAAAUCAGUGUACAUUAUAACGUUAAGAUAAUUAUUCUGAGGUGGAUGGAAAACUACUAAAAUGCAAGAUCGUGUAGUCAGUUAUUAAACUAAGUAACAGUGAUUGGUAUACGUUUAAAAACGCUUGAAUAUCAAAUGUGCAAAUUAUGAAAGCUUUCAAUAUUUCAUAAUGCAAGGUCCUAUUUCAAAUGAGGUCAUUACAGGGAAAAAAAAAAAUAUAUAUAUAUAUAUAUAUAUAUAUAUAUAUAUAUAUAUAUAUAUAUAUAUAUAUAUAUAUAUAUAUAAGCAUUUUGACAGUUUUUUCUUUGAUAAUGUUUGCACACUUGGGACUGAACAGAGUUAUCCAGCUCUGUGGAUAAGUUUUCUAAGGGCAGAGCUGGGAUGCUUCAUUUAUUAUUUUUUCAAUAAACAUCUCUACAUAUUUAUUGUUGAAA
ensembl:lncRNA